ACUCCUACGGGAGGCAGCAGUGGGGAAUAUUGCACAAUGGGGGAAACCCUGAUGCAGCCAUGCCGCGUGUGUGAAGAAGGCCCUUGGGUUGUAAAGCACUUUCAGUAGGGAGGAAGGUAGUGUAGUUAACACCUGCAUUAUUUGACGUUACCUACAGAAGAAGCACCGGCUAACUCCGUGCCAGCAGCCGCGGUAAUACGGAGGGUGCGAGCGUUAAUCGGAAUUACUGGGCGUAAAGCGCAUGCAGGCGGCCUGUUAAGUCAGAUGUGAAAGCCCGGGGCUUAACCUCGGAAUUGCAUUUGAAACUGGCAGGCUAGAGUCUUGUAGAGGGGUAGAAGUUUCAGGUGUAGCGGUGAAAUGCGU
rnacentral:rRNA from 1 species